rnacentral:lncRNA from 1 species
UCCCCCCCUCUUUCCCUUCUUUUCUUGUGAUGCCAAGAACAGAAUCUAGGACCUUGGGCAUGUGAUUUGCUGCAUGUCCUUUUGUGGCUCCAUAGCUUUUGAUAGCAAAAGGAACCUGGAGCAAGAAAAGAAGGACCACUUCUAGAAAACACAUAUGGGCACACCAUGUGUAGAGUUCAGUGUAGCAUCUUGUAAGAGGCUCAUGUUGACAUCUCCCAACUACUCCAAGAUGUCCACGUGCCACUGCUGGUAAGGGGUAUCUACCUGUCCCCUGUUCAGCAGUGUCACUCUCAGAUGACUGCCUGGUGCAGGCAUCAGCUCUGAGCAUAGUGGCUUUAGUGGGUGCCCCAUGCAGUUUGUCCCAGGACAUUUGACUGAGGACUUAGGAUUGUUGAAGAUGCUCUUAUCACCAUGGAAACUAAGCAGAUGUUGGCAGGUGGUGAUGGUUUUUUGGAGCUGAUGAAGAGACCACACUGCCUUUCUUCAGAACCAUGCCAACUCCCAGAGCUGUUCAAAGCCCACCGCCCAGAAGGAGAGGCAGUAUGGACUGCAGCGUGCCAUGAGACAGGAAGUGGCUCCUCAACAAACCUGAACAUUCGCAGAGGCAGGAGGGUCAUGCAGCUAUGGCCGGGAGAGUGGUUUCAGAGCUGUGUCACCGCUGUUCAAGAACUCACAAUAGAAGAUGCAGACACACACCUGCCAGGCAGACCUCAGCAGUCAGAGAGCAUCUGGUUCCACCAAGUGUCUGGCACCAGCCAGUCCCACUGGAAGUAAAGAGAUGUCGUCUCUAAACUCAG